rnacentral:rRNA from 1 species
AUUGAACGCUGGCGGCAUGCUUUACACAUGCAAGUCGAACGGUAACAGGCCGCAAGGUGCUGACGAGUGGCGAACGGGUGAGUAAUGCAUCGGAACGUGCCCAGUCGUGGGGGAUAACGCAGCGAAAGCUGCGCUAAUACCGCAUACGAUCUAUGGAUGAAAGCGGGGGACCGUAAGGCCUCGCGCGAUUGGAGCGGCCGAUGUCAGAUUAGGUAGGUGGUGGGGUAAAGGCCUACCAAGCCAACGAUCUGUAGCUGGUCUGAGAGGACGACCAGCCACACUGGGACUGAGACACGGCCCAGACUCCUACGGGAGGCAGCAGUGGGGAAUUUUGGACAAUGGGCGCAAGCCUGAUCCAGCAAUGCCGCGUGCAGGAAGAAGGCCUUCGGGUUGUAAACUGCUUUUGUACGGAACGAAAAGGCUCUGGUUAAUACCUGGGGCUCAUGACGGUACCGUAAGAAUAAGCACCGGCUAACUACGUGCCAGCAGCCGCAGUAACAC